rnacentral:rRNA from 1 species
CGCGGCCUAUCAGCUUGUUGGUAAGGUAACGGCUUACCAAGGCUAAGACGGGUAGCUGGUCUGAGAGGAUGAUCAGCCACACUGGGACUGAGACACGGCCCAGACUCCUACGGGAGGCAGCAGUGGGGAAUAUUGGACAAUGGGCGCAAGCCUGAUCCAGCCACGCCGCGUGAGUGAUGAAGGUUUUCGGAUCGUAAAACUCUGUCCUGAGGGAAGAGCAUCCUAGGUUCAAAUAGGUCCUAGGCUUGACGGUACCUCUGGAGGAAGCACCGGCUAACUCCGUGCCAGCAGCCGCGGUAAAACGGAGGGUGCAAACGUUGCUCGGAAUUACUGGGCGUAAAGCGCAUGCAGGCGGACUGUUAAGUUUCGUGUGAAAGCCCUGGGCUCAACCCAGGAAGUGCACGGAAAACUGGCAGACUAGAGUACUAGAGAAGUGGGCGGAAUUCCGGGUGUAGAGGUGAAAUUCGUAGAUAUCCGGAGGAACACCAGUAGCGAAAGCGGCUCACUAGAUAGAUACUGACGCUCAGAUGCGAAAGCGUGGGUAGCAAACAGGAUUAGAUACCCUGGUAGUCCACGCCGUAAACGAUGGGCACUAGGUGUCGGGGGUUUGACCCCUUCGGCGCCGUAGCUAACGCGUUAAGUGCCCCGCCUGGGGAGUACGG